rnacentral:tRNA from 1 species
UCCUUGGUGGCUCAGAUGGUAAAGCGUCUGCCUACAAUGUGGAAGACCCAGGUUCAAUCCCUGGAUUGGGAA